CGGGCAGGCAAUCUGUAACACCCCUCAAUUAGGAGUGCUAAACACGAUUUGAAGAUUCAAAUUUGGUCAAAAUUAUCAAGCCACACGUGUAGCUCUCUCCUCCCCGUGCGUGCUCACCGUGGCCAAAUUUGCCACGGCGCCGUUCGCGCACGCCACGACGCCGGUCGCACGAAGCUUCUUCCGUGCUCCACUUCUCCUCUCGCUGCCACAACGCGCCGUGCUGCUCUGCUCUUCUUCGCUCUCGCGCACGCACCGGCCGAGCUUGCCUACGCCGCCUGCCUGCGAGCGCUCGCCAGUCGCCACGCCCGCCAUGGCCAUGGCCGCCCCUCCACGCCGAGCCGCCGCUCGAGCCAGCGUCGACCCCCACCAACCCCCAAAUCCGUUUGCUCUCGUCCCAACGAAGAUCCCAGGCCCGGCCAUCACCUCCACGCCUCGCCGGAACGCCGCCACAGCGGCACAGUACCGCCGCCGGCCGCCGCCCGCCGUGGAACCGCCGCCACGGACCACCUCCUCGCGCUCUAAGACCACCCAGAGGUACGAUAGAUGAACCACGUGAAGGAUGUCACGUUGAAGCCAGGACAGAAGACGGUGAAUGGUGGACACGUCUAGAAGAUGGAUGGAUGGAUCCCGAUGUGCAUGAUCCCAAGGAAGGUACUUGCCAAGCGAGUAUCAUCUAACUAACACUGACUCAGUGUUCAUCCCAGGCAAGCCCCGGUAUAGAAGCUAACCAGGAUUCGCAUCAGUGGGCUCGAUGUGA